AACGAACGCUGGCGGCAUGCCUAACACAUGCAAGUCGAACGAGACCUUCGGGCCUAGUGGCGCACGGGUGCGUAACGCGUGGGAACCUGCCCUUAGGUUCGGAAUAACUCCCCGAAAGGGGUGCUAAUACCGGAUAAUGUCUUCGGACCAAAGAUUUAUCGCCUUUGGAUGGGCCCGCGUUGGAUUAGCUAGUUGGUAGGGUAAAAGCCUACCAAGGCGACGAUCCAUAGCUGGUCUGAGAGGAUGAUCAGCCACACUGGGACUGAGACACGGCCCAGACUCGUACGGGAGGCAGCAGUGGGGAAUAUUGGACAAUGGGCGAAAGCCUGAUCCAGCAAUGCCGCGUGAGUGAUGAAGGCCUUAGGGUUGUAAAGCUCUUUUACCCGGGAUGAUAAUGACAGUACCGGGAGAAUAAGCUCCGGCUAACUCCGUG
rnacentral:rRNA from 1 species